UGCACAGCCAGCUCUGCAUGAAUUACUCUUUCUCUAUUGCAAUUCCCCUGGCUUGAUGAAUCAGCUCUGUCUAGGCAGCGGGCAAGAGAAAUCCUGAGGCUCAAAGACACUGAAUGACCUGCUGCUUCACACACAGGUGGUCAGUGUUGCCAAAGACCAGGACGAGCAGUCCAGGCAGCUGUCACAUUUCCAACAUGUGGAAAGCCUCGCCAAAGCAUGAGCUCUGCUGUCUCCCUUCCAUGCAGCGAGGCCACACGAGGCGGACGCAGAUUUGUUCCAGCAGCUUCACCAGGGAAUAAACAGCAGGCAUAGGUACAAAUAAAUAAACCUCAGGCUUGAGAUCCUCUCUUUAUCCAAAAUCAAACUCCAAUUCUUUUCUUUCCUUUCUUCCCUGGGGCCAUCUUGGUGUCGCCCAUCUGCCUGGGCCAGAGGCCCGUACUUGUUCCUGCAUUGCCAGGCCAUUUGGUAACACGAGGAGCUGAUGCCCCUUUCCCUCCUGUUGUUUUUUGUUUUUUGUGUUUUUUUUUUGUUUUUUUUUUUUUUGAGACAGAGUCUCAUUCUGUCACCCAGGCUGGAGUGCAGUGGCACGAUCUUGGCUCACUGCAACCUCCACCUCCCAGGCUCAAGCGAUUUUCCUGCCUCAGCCUCCCGAGUAUCUGGGAUUACAGGCGUGCACCAUCACUCCUGGCUAAUUUUGUAUUCUUAAUAGAGAUGGGGUUUCACCAUGUGGGCCAGGCUGGUCUGGAACUCCUGAACUCAAACCAUCCACCCGCCGCCUCGGCCUCUCAAAAUGCUGGGAUUACAGGCGUGAGCCACCGCGCCUGGCCUCUCCUGUUGUACCUUGUCAACCCCAGUUGCUGCUAAGCUAGCCUGUCUGUUUCUUCACUGUUUUCUUUACUUAUGUCUGCUCUUCUAAACGUAGACAAACUUUUAUAUUUUAUUUUCCUCCCCAGUUGUAAAUAGCAGAAUCUGGACAAGAACUCAAUAUUUCUAUUUCAGAUUACACACUCUUUCUAUAUUACUAUGAAGCUUCAAGAUAUUUUAUGCGGCUUUUGUAAGAAACAUAAUCCUACUAACAUUGACUGAGUACCAGGCCCUCUGCUAGGAGGCAGGGAAACUGCAUACAGCAACUCCAGCACCAUCCAGCCUCGAGGGCGAGGCAGACUCGUAAGUGGGUGAUCAUAACAGCGAGUGCUAAAUGAUAUAUUGGGAAAAUCACAGAAUACUGUCGCAACACCCAGGGUGUGCUCUCACCCAUCUUGAGAAUGAGGAAGAGUUAACCCAGAACAAAGAAAGGGUAGUUGAUGUUUAGUGUUUGGGCAGAUGUAUUCCAAGCAAAGGGAACAUUAUUGGUAAAAGAAGAAAGGGGAUUGAGAGCCCAGAGUCUUCGGAGAGCUGUAAAUAUUCUGUCAAGGCACAGAAGCGAAGUUUGGAGUUUAUGCUACCGACAAUGGGAAUCUCUAAAAGGAGUUCAGAAAGAUCUGAAAAUAGACUCAAAGAUUUCUUCAACAAAAGGAGAUGGGUGUCUGAAAAUGAUGAAGAUGUGGUCCCUGACUCCAAAGAGCUCAUCACCUACUGGGAGAGACAGAUAUGUAAACAAAUCAUUACAGAACAAUUUGUUUCAUUCUAAAUGUAGCACACAAAAAGAGCUGGGGACAGUGAAGAGGAAGCCGUCAGCGCUGCCUGCGGAGAAGAAAGGAAGGCUUUGUGUAGGUGACAACUGAGCAAGAUGACAGAUGAGUGGGCGGAAACCAGUCCUAGCAGAAGGGGUGGACCCUUGGGGCGGGACCAGGAAGGGCACCUCCAAUUCAUUACCCAAGAUUAAAUGAAUGGAACAUUCGCCGUACUCUUUAAAUUUCAAGAAUUUCUUUUCUUUCUUUCUUUCUUUUUUGAGACGGAAUUUUGCUCUUGUCGCCCAGGCUGGAGUGCAAUGGCGCAAUCUCGGCUCACCGCAACCUCCGCCUCCUGGUUCAAGCUAUUCUUCUGCCUCAGUCUCCCGAGUAGCUGGGAUUGCAGGCAUGAGCCACCACGCCCGGCUAAUUUUGUAUUUUUAGUAGAGAUGAGGUUUCUCCAUGUUGGUCAGGCUGGUCUCAAACUCCUGAACUCAGGUGAUCCGCCCGCCUUAGUCUCCCAAAGUGCUGGGAUUACAGGCGUGAACCACCAUGCCCGACCUAAAUUUCAAGAAUUUCUAUUGCAACUCCUUUGCCUCAGGAAUUUGUCCCCUUCCUAGUGGAGAUAGUGAAUGUUAAACUGUAACCUACAUAUCUCUUCUCAAGGAUUUUGAAUGUUUGUUUGUACAGAGAACACUCCAUCUGGUAUAUCCCAGAAACAAAAGGAGCUUUUCAGUAAGAUUUUCAGUGCACGGAAGCCGUGUUCAUUUCUAGAGACUGCAUUCUCAGAAGCUUUUCGCCCUAAGCACAAAAUCAGAGGCAAGUAGGAGGAGUGGGGCUGCACCUGAGUGCAGCAUUGCUGUACCCAUCCUGUUUCCCAGACAAGCAGAUUCAAAAAUCAAGUGUCUUAUUCACUGGGGUUAGAAAGAAUCUAUUUUUUUCCUUUGGCAGCAUCAAACAUCAGAAAUAAUUCCACUGAAAAGAAUAUUAUACCUAAUGUAUUCUACUUAAAGUCCAACAAAUACAUUAAGAGCAGAAAAUUGUAGGAUACAAGAUUCUCAAAUUUUCAGUAAUACAGCUCAAUAUCAGUACACAAGGUGAGGCCUUAUGGACUGAAGGGUUGUGUCCACCCAAAAUUCAUAUGUUGAAGCCCUAACCCCCCACUGCGAUGGUAUGAGGAGGUGAAGCCCCUGGAAGAUGAUUAGGUCAUGAGAGAGAAGCCCUUGUCAAUGGGACUAGUGACCUUGCCAAAGGGACCCUAAAGAGCUCUUAUGCCCUCCUUCCUCUUGUGAGUGCACAACUAGCCGGCAAGCCAGAAGAGGACCCUUAUCAGAACCUGACAUUGCUGCACCCCAAUCUCAGAAUUCCAGCCUCCAAAAUCGGAGAAAUAUAUUUCUAUUGUUUAUAAACCACGCUGGGGUACUUUGUUGUAGCAGCCAAAACUGACUAAGAUGAGAGGCCAAAAAAGGUGCUUUCCCUAUUAACAGCACGACUCUGCCCGUGCUUACAAAGAACUGUGGUUGAAAUGGAUUCAGCUUUACAACAUCUGCAGAAGGCUAAGUUACGUGCGGCAGUAGUGGUGGAAAUGUUGAACUAGGAACUGUAUUAAGGGGUUGAAAGUAAAGGGAUGAGCCAUAAUUUAUUCAGGAAAACGCAAAUAAAAGUAGUGGAAAUAGCAAUAUUCAUGAAAAGAUAAUAUGGCGUUUAAUUUAAAAAGUCAGAGAGUGACUUGGUAAUGAUAAAAAAAAAGCCAUGAAAAAAAUAUUAUCGUGAUGAACCUUUAGGUACUAAAUAGCAUAGUGGUAAAUAUAUAUGACAAAAACUCUGGUCUGGCCUGGUGGCUCACGCCUGUAAUCCUAACAUUUUGGGAGGCCGAGGUGGGUGGAUCACUUGGGGCCAGGAGUUCGAGACCAGCCUGGCCAAUAUGGUGAAACCCCAUCUCUACUAAAAAUACAAAAAUGAGCCAGGUGUGGUGGCACAUGCCUGUAAUCCCAGCUACUUGGGAGGUUGAGGUGGGAGAAUCGCUUGAAUCUGGGAGGCGGAGGUUGCAGUAAGCUGAGAUCAUGCCACUGCACUCCAGCCUGGGCGACAGAGUGAAACCGUGUCUCAAAAAAAAAAAAAAAAAAAAAAAAAACAACUCUGAGAAUACACAGAUAAUUUAGUGUAACUGUGAUCACUGCAGACUGGUAGUUCUUACUCUGAGCAAUUUUGUCCUCCCAUGAGACAUUGGCAACAACUGGAGACAUUUUUGGUCCUCACAAAUUGGACAGGGUGGAGGAAGGUGCUACUGGCAGCUGGUGGGUAGAAGCCAGGGGUGCCGCUAAACCCCUGAAAUGCCAGGACAGCCCCACAACCCACACAGAGAAGUACAUGAUGCAAAAUGCCAACGGUGCCAGGACUGAGAAGCCCUGGUCUACAGUAUUGUAUUAUAUACUUCUCUCAAACUGACAGGUCAGGUAGACUCUCUCUAUAUAUUUGUCUGUGUGUGUGUGUGUAUACAUCUAUAUAUGUUCGAAUAUGUGUGUGUGUGUGUGUGUGUAUAUAUAUAUAUGAAGCUGGACUUAGUGUACAGAGAUAACUUUCACCCUGCCCAAAAUAUCAUUAUAAUAUGUAGAUGUAUAUAAACAUCUAUACACACGCGCACAUAAAUAUAUAUUCAAAUAUGUAUGAAGCCGGACUUGGUAUACAAAGAUAACUUUCUAUUCUACAAAAUAUAUGUAUUCUCUCCUAUUUAAAACCUUUAUGAUUAUAUUUAAGCUUGAUAGCAUGUUUUAACUUAACAUUUAUUGUAAGUCAAACACAACUUUAUACUGAUCAGCAUAAAUUGGCUAAAAGUUUUUUAUUUCUUGAACAUUACCAAAUUCGAUCUUUUUAAAAAGUAAGAUAAAAUGCCGAUCUGAACUUUUAAAGGAGGAAACCUGAUGAGAUACAGGUUCCCAUUUCUCAAGACCUGGCAUUGUGGAAUCUGUCAGAAGUUACGAACUGGUGCAGGGAUGAUGGAAUCUACCAGGAGUUAGCCAAGUUCUCAUAGAAGCAGAGGGAAAGGGGGAAAUUCAAAGGGUGUACGCUUAGCCGGGCAGGGUGGCGGGCGCCUGUAAUCCCAGCUACUUUGGAGGCUGAGGCAGGAUAAUUGCUUGAACCCGAGAGGCGGAGGUUGCAGUGAGUCAAGACCGUGCCAUUGCACUCCAGCCUGGGCAAAAAGAGUGAAACUCCGUUUCAAAAAAAAAAAAAGGGUGUGAGCCCUGGUCACACACGGAUGCUGUGGGACAGGGACAGUCAUUUAACUUAGAGACCAUCCUACUUCUUAAACACUAUCUGUUAUCUGUUCUCUCCAGAAUCGGGCUGACAGGGACUACAACAGCUGUUCCCUGGAUAAGGUGCCAUUAACCUUUACAUUCAGCUAAACACUUCCAAAGAGCACUGAUGCCCAGACGUACAUGCACUCAGGGAGCAGUGGGGGUUGGAGAAUGAAGGCGUGGAUUGCUAUAGACAUCUUAUUGCUGUGGCCUGAAUGUCUGAAUGUUUAGUUCUUCCCAUACUGAAAUCCUAACCCCUCAAGGUGAUGGUAUUACGAGGUGGGCCUUUGGGAGGUAAUUAGGUCAUGGGGGUGAAGCCUUUGUGAAUGGGCUUAGUGCCCUUAUUAUAACAGAGCCCACGGAGAGCUCCUUGCUAGCACCACAUGAGGUUAUAAUCAGAAGGCACCGUCUAUGAAACAGGAAGCAGGCCCUCACCAGGCGCCAGAUCUGCCUUGAUCUUGGACUUCCCAGCUUCCAGCAAUGUGAAAAAAAGUUUUUGUUGUUGUAAGCCUUCCAGUUCAUGGUACUUUGUUACAGCAGCCUAGUAAACUAAUAGACGUGGUGAAAUCAAUUCACCUCCAAGCUGACCUGGCUUGGUGCUUCCUAAUCAUGAAUGGGAUCUCUGGUUUUCUCCAGUCAAAUUUGAGGCUAUUCUCACUCAGAAGCAUUUCAUCACGUAUCUUCCAGGCUAUAACUUAAUUGAUAGGUAUAGAUGUAUUUCCACUAACAAAACUGCUAACUUUGGGGAAGGAAAAUGCUAGAGUCACCUUAAGCCUCAUGCUUUUAUCAGACAGACACAUUAAUCUGGGUCUGUGUACAAAAAUUGCUUCCCACACACUCUCUGGAGUCUCAGAGGACCAGGGAAGGAAUCUGGCAGGAGACAAGCAAAAGGCGAUACACAGUCCACAAAGUGGCACAGGGGUUCUUCCGGCCCUGAGGCCUGUUGACAUCACAUUCAUCAUCCCUACAUGCCAGGGCUCUGGCGGGCUAUGGAGAAUCCUCUGCGAGAGGGAGGAUGUUUGCACGAAUAACUUUCCUUUUGAACUCUUUCGACAUUAGGACCUUAUGCCAGGCUGCCUCAUUUACCAAACACUUAAAAGAUCAGGACUGAAGCCGUAGAAGGGGCUUCACUGGGAAGAUGUGUCAGCCACACCGUGCAGCUAUGUUGCAGUGUAGUUGCAUGAGCUGUCCCAGAUACCAAGUAUGGAAGUUAAAAAAAUUAAUAAAUAAAAAUAAAUGAACAAAUCAAAAGGAGUAGGUGUGGUGGGGAGGGAGGAAGAGCAAGCACAUGGAUCAUGCACUUUGGGAAGAGAAAAUAAAAGAGGAAUGAGUUUUCUUUUAUCAAGGAAAUCUAAAUGACAUGUUCAAGACCGUAGCAACCAAUCUAAGUGUUUCCAUUCUCCAAACACACAGAUGGACCCUGGAGUGAGAGGGUGGAGACAGCAGUAAAUGUGUUUUUCUGUCUCGUUGGAAAUGUUUUUCCCGUUGAUCUAGCAACACUGUUACAUCGGUACAAAUGCCCACAACCUUAGGAGAGUUAGGUUCAGGCCCAAAGUCCAUUUUCUUGGUUAAUCAUUAUCCAGGACUGUUUAAACCAGGCCAUUAAGCUAUAACGUAACAUGCAGCCACCUAUAUGCUUGGAUAUCUGUGUAGUCUGAAGUGCCCUUUCCUUUGCAUUUCCUUAAGUAUCGAAUUAAUUUGCCUUUAGAGAAUGAAUUGAUAUUUUUAAGCCUAUUUGAUUGUUGGGUUUUUUACUUAAAAACAGUCUUUAUUAAAAUAGUUUUAUUAAAAAACAUAGUGGCAAAAUUUCAAAUUAUUUCAAAACGUUUCAUGCUCUACUUCUCUGUUCCCAGCUCUGCUCUAGUCACCUCAAAGAGAUUCAGUUUGACUUCACAUUUUUUGUAGGCAGAUGUAUCCACCAGCUGACACUGAAUAAAAGAGCCCUUUCAGUUACUGUCCCUCUGGGCCCAAUGGUAAAGUCACCAGUCCCAUGAACUGGUCACCUCCCUAGUGAAGCGGCUACGUUGUCUGGGGUCUAUACCCCGAGGUUCGUCAUUGCACGACAGGAAAAUGUAGGACAUGGACACACACAAGGAGUUUAGGAGCAAAUGUUUAAUAGGCAGAAGAGAAAGAAAAACAGAUCUCUCCAUAGACAAGGGGGUCUCCCAGUGGAAAGGACCAGUCAGGUUUGAGGAAGCCGUGUCUGAUUUACAUAGGGUUCACAGAUUGGUUUGAUCAGGUAUGACGUUUAGAUAGUGUGUGGGGAAGGCUGGUCGCGCCACGAUAAUUUUAUUAUGCAAAUGGGCUUUCCAGUUGAUGGGUGCCAUCUUAUCUGGUCUUUACUGCACAUGUGACUGACAAAGGGAAGGGAGGAUGGCGCCGCCAUCUUGAACAUGUCUACUCCCUAGUUCCUGCAGGCAUUCACUUGCCUGUCCCUCUGGGCCAAAUGGUAAAGUCAGCAGUCCCAUGAACUGGUCACCUCCCUAGUGAAGUGGCUACGUUGUCUGGGGUCUAUACCCUGAGCUCGACUUCAUAGGCUGCUCUUUAUUAAAAAAUGAUCUGGGCUGCUUUUCAUGAAAAAGAAAACAAAGCCUUACUGAAGACUCCCAUACCUUCGUUAUCUGCCUAAGUGAUUUCUUUUUAACUCUUGUAUCAUUAGCAAGGAAAAUGUCAGCAAAGAGGAAACAGGAAUACGCAGCAGAGUGACAAUUUGCACUAAGAUGAGAGCAAAGUUUAACCAAAUGGAAAAGCCAAAUCAUUGGUUACAACUUUACUUUACAGUGGAGAUUACAAGUUCUUUUCAUUUAUCCAAUUAACCAAGUGCCAAGAGGGUGUUAAUAAAAUUACGUUGAAUUAUUCUGAAGGGUACAGAGUUGUACUCUCUGGUACAACUUUCCCUAGAUGCCUAGGUUUACAACCAAUUUAGACUAAAACUAAUUUUUUUUUUACUUGCACUUUACUUAAUUCAGCACCUAAAUAGGAUGUACAUUUGCUACUUAAGAAAUACCAGAGGUCAGACGCGGUGGCUCACACCUGUAAUCCCAGCACUUUGGGAGGCCAAGGUGGGCAGAUCACUUGAGGUCAGGAGUUUGAGACCAGCCUGACCAACAUGGCGGAACCCCAUCUCU
rnacentral:lncRNA from 1 species